rnacentral:rRNA from 1 species
AUUGAACGCUGGCGGCAGGCCUAACACAUGCAAGUCGAACGAGUGGCGGACGGGUGAGUAAUGUAUGGGAACCUGCCCGAUAGAGGGGGAUAACUACUGGAAACGGUGGCUAAUACCGCAUACUAUCGGAUGUGCCCAUAUGGGAUUAGCUAGUCGGUGGGGUAAAGGCUCACCUAGGCGACGAUCCCUAGCUGGUCUGAGAGGAUGACCAGCCACACUGGAACUGAGACACGGCCCAGACUCCUACGGGAGGCAGCAGGGGGGAAUAUUGCACAAUGGGGGAAAGCCUGAUGCAGCCAUGCCGCGUGUAUGAAGAAGGCCUUCGGGUUGUAAAGUACUUUCAGCGGGGAGGCGUUACCCGCAGAAGAAGCACCGGCUAACUCCGUGCCAGCAGCCGCGGUAAUAC